AGUAAAAGGCAUUCAGGACAUCUUGCUCCAAAGCAUCAAAAGUAUGGAAAAUAACGGCAGAACCUUCAGAAGCCCUCUCAGCACAUUCCACGCAGAAGUUAAACAUAUAAUCAUUUGGAUCUGUUGUUCGAACAAAACUCGGAAGGUCCCUUAACUUUAUAUCUCUCAUUCCUGGGAUCCAAUCCACCACUUUGUCCAAGUAGCCAUUUGUUAGAAAGCUCUCAUCUGCAAACAAAAAUUGAACGUACAUGUAUCUUUUAGUAACUGAAUAAAAGUGGCUGCAGAAACAGAGAAAAAAUAUAUAUAUAAAAAAGAAGGUUUCCAAGCUUGUACCCCUAGUGAAAAGAAUGAAUAAUUAAGGGCAACAGUUUACUUACAGGAGAAAAUAUUUUGAAUUAAUGAACUAAUAUAAAAACCUUAAUGAAAUUAUAAUUACGUUUUUUUCCUUGUUCAUACCUUCUAGUGGUGUCAGACCUUUUUCUUUGAGUGCUCGAAAUUGUCUAGUCCCCAUGAAGCUGCAAGCAGAGAUAGUAUAGAACAACGCAAUAGGAAUUCCGUGCAUCGCAGCGGCAUCGAUAGCGACUGGCAUGGCACCAUCAGAGACGAUAUAAGUCACCGGAGGGACAUCAGAAGAUGCUGUGUCAUUCAUCUUGUCAAGCAGGUCAUUAAAUGGACCCAGCAAGUUCUUCCUGGAAGCCUCACAAAUUGCAUAGAUAUCGUGGUGGCAUUCUCAUCCGGAGCAGGGAAGCCAUCUGGAAUGAUUCAAACCGAAAAUCGGGCAAACCAGUCAGGGAAUCAGGACCUCUAGAUCUAAGUAAACGUUUGUGGUUAAACUCUGUGUUGACAAAGGUUAUGUGAGAACCUUUGUGAUGUAGUAGUUUCGCUAGUUUAAGCAUUGAGUUUAUGUGGCUCUGAGCUGGGUGGGGAAUGCAAACUGCAUGAGGCUUAUCAACUAAAAUAUUAGAAGACAUCUCUCUGAAUCUCUCUCUCUCUCUCUCUCUGUUUGUUUGCUCUGUUGUCUUCGCAGUAGAGAUUCUGGUCUUUGUAUAGGCUUAUCAACUUAAUUAGGAUCACACUGUAGUAUUUUUAUUCUAUAUUAGAAAAAUAAAAUUUUUAUUUAGUAUUUAUAUAAUAAACUUUGAUAUAAAAUAAUAACUAAAUCAAUCCAAAACAACAGACACUGGUGGUGCUUAUGGGAGAUUAAAUCGAUCAAAAAACGAACUUCAAUUAAGAUUUUGAGAUCAAAGACAACUCUCUUCAAGCUCUUUCUCUCACUCUCCUUCACUUUCCUCUCACUCAACCUCUUUAUUUACAGGAAACCAUCCAAAUUCUCAAUUUAGAAUAUGAUUAGAAAAAACACCCAAUGGGCGUGAAGUCAACUUGACGGAAGAAUCAAAAGCAAGCCGCAGAUCGAGAAUUCUUCAGAAGAAACAAAAACCAGAGCACAGUAAUUUAUUAAAGCAUGGGACACAAAUCCCUUGAGCGGGCUCUCUUGUCCUUUACUCCAGCAAGUACUGCAUCAUUUAGGAAAAAGACUCAAGACUCAAACACUAGCCAGCCAUAAUAUUUAGCAAUAAUUUAUAUCAGAAAAGCUUACGAUAUCGUAUAUGUUUAUAUGAAAUAUUAUUAAAAAACCUAUCCACACUACUCACCUUGAAAACAACACUUUUGUCUGGGGCUUUAAUUAUCUUUUAAUAAAGAAACUUUUUUUGUUCUUCAUGAUGAAAGCACUUCCGUCACUAACGUGUCUAAACUCACCACUAGGGUCAGCGGCUGCCUCUGCCAAUAUUUCCAUUCUGUGACGUUUUUUCUUCAUUUUCUCACCUCCCCCCCUCCAACAACUCUAUCACAAGCUUCUCCACAUUGUCUCAAUUUCAACUCUACCCUUCAAAGUCACAUUAUCUCUACCCUUCUAUCUCUGAUUCUCUACCCUUCGAAGUCACAUUAUCCCCAACUUAGCGGAAGAGUAAAAAGCAAACAGCAGACAACGUAUAGAAAUAAAAACCAUAAAAUAAUACGCUUGAUGAUUUAACCUAUUGGUCAACUGCAAGGUUUGCUUUUACGAAGGUCCUGGGUUCGAUCCUCAAAAGUACCAGUCUGUCACCCCUGCAGUGCCUUACCUGCUUACUGGGCUUGCAGGAUGUUCAGUAGGCUAUAAGAUUAGUUGUGGUGCGCGUAAGCUGGCCCGGACACCUAAAAUAAUAAAAAAAAAUAACCAUAAAAUAAUUAGAUAAUCAGAGAGUGAGUAUAAUCAUACCUUUUCUGUCUUUCUCUUGGAAAAUUGAGGCACAGAGAGAGAUUAAAUCAAAGAAUGACUCGCUGGAGAGAGGGCUUGAGGUGGAAGGGAAAAAGAAACUGAUGCAUAGAGGGAGUGUUUCCUGCCGAGAGGGAGCACUGCUUGAUUUAUUUUUAUAAAUUAAAAAUUUAAUAAAGUUACAAUCAGAAAAUUUGUUUUGUAAAUUUAGUAAUUUAUAAAAUUAAUUUAAUAUAAUAUGUAAGACUAUUUAAAUAGAAAAUCAUAAAUCUAAUUAAGAAAAAAAAAUCUAAAACUAAGAAAAUAAAUGUACAUUAUUCGGCAAAUUCAAACACCAUAAUCACCUUGAAAUAAUACAUUUGUCUUGAGCUGUAAUACUUUUUUUUUUUUUUGAUAAACAGACCAUAUUAUUUUUAUGACAAAAGCACUUCCGUCACCAGCCUGUCUAAACUCAUGGAUGAUGAACCACCGGGCCUAGUGGCCUCCUCGGCUAAUUUUUUCCACUCCAUGGCUGUACUAUUCUUCAUUUUCUUACCUUCUUCUCCUUCCAUCAUCUCUCUCACUUGUUUUUCCACAUUUUCUCUCGUCACAUUGCCAUCAAUCUCCAUUCCAAUUGCCCACUCAUUGCAUGUAUAUCGACAGUUUGUUUGCUGAUCACCGAAGAAUGGCCAACAAAGCAUAGGCACGCCAGAAGAAAUGCUCUCAAUUACUGAGCUCCAUCCACAAUGUGUUAGAAAACAACCAACUGAUGGGUGGUCGAGGACUUCCUCUUGUGGACACCAGCUUGAAAUAAAGCACCUGUCUUUAGUUUCUUCAGUGAAUUCUGGCGACAAUAUCGCACAGUCGCCGGCGAUCAUGUCAGGUCUUAUGAUCCAUAAAAAUGGAUGACCGCUUUUUGCAAGUCCCAUUCCAAAUUCAAUGAGCUGCUGCUUUGUAGCGACCACUACGCUACCAAAAUUAAUAUAAAUGACCGAGUUGGGUUUCUGGGAAUCCAGCCAUUGGAGACACUCAACUUCUUCUUUCCAUAGAUUACAUCCAAUAGAAUUCAGAUCAUCUUCUUGAAUUUUAUUGAGAAGCAACUGAAGUGGACCAAUCGCAUAGACACGAGGAAACAUGGAAUAAAGGGCAUUGAGAACCUCUUGCUCCAAAGCAUCAAAAGUAUGUAAAAUAACAGCAGAACCUUCAGAAGCCCUCUCAAUACAUUCCACGCAGAAGUUAAACAUAUAAUCAUUUGGAUCUGUUGUUCGAACAAAACUGGGAAGGUCCCUUAACUUUAUAUCUCUCAUUCCUGGGAUCCAAUCCACCACUUUGUCCAAGUAGCCAUUUGUUAGAAAGCUCUCAUCUGCAAACAAAAAUUGAACGUACAUAUAGCUUUCUGUAUUGGAGCUAUAUUUUCUUUUCUUAUAAACUUUAUGCUAGCAAGUGAAUGAAAAUGACUGAAGAAACUGUGUAAAAUAAAAAAUACAAAGAAGGUUCCCUAGCUUGUGUCCUAGAGAAAAGCAUGAAUAUAUAAUUAAGGGAAAUAGUAUACUUGUAGGAGAAAAUAUUUCACGAGUCCAACUCACCUGAAGUCCACUCAAGUAAUUAAUUAUGAGGGAAUAACUAUAAACAAAGUGAUUAUUGUAGAAAUCCUCUCUUUGUGAGUGUGGAUUAUUGAGCCUGACUGGUUCAAUGAUUUAUUUAUUUGGAGACAUUUCAAGCAACUCCAAAUCUUAAUGAAAAUAUAGUAUUUUUUUUCUUU
rnacentral:lncRNA from 1 species